GACGAACGCUGGCGGCGUGCUUAACACAUGCAAGUCGAACGGAGUGGCGAACGGGUGAGUAACACGUGGGUGAUCUGCCUUGCACUUCGGGAUAAGCUUGGGAAACUGGGUCUAAUACCGGAUAGUGCAAGAUGAGCUCGCGGCCUAUCAGCUGGUUGGUGGGGUAAUGGCCUACCAAGGCGUCGACGGGUAGCCGGCCUGAGAGCGGGUACGGCGACAUUGGGCCUGGGUGACGGCCCAGUAUCCUACGGGAGGCAGCAGGCGAGAAUAUUGCACAAUGGGCGGAAGCCUGAUGCAGCGGCGCCGCGUGGGGGAUGAAGGCCUUCGGGUUGUAAACUCCUUUCGACAGGGACGCGGUACCUGUAUAAGAAGCACCGGCUAACUACGUGCCAGCAGCCGCGGUAAUUC
rnacentral:rRNA from 1 species